UACGUAGGGGGCAAGCGUUGUCCGGAAUCAUUGGGCGUAAAGCGCGCGUAGGCGGCUCGAUCAGUCUGCUGUAAAAGUCAAGGGCUCAACCUUUGAAUGCCGGUGGAUACUGUCGGGCUAGAGUCCGGAAGAGGCGAGUGGAAUUCCUGGUGUAGCGGUGGAAUGCGCAGAUAUCAGGAGGAACACCAACGGCGAAGGCAGCUCGCUGGGACGGUACUGACGCUAAGGCGCGAAAGCGUGGGGAGCGAACAGG
rnacentral:rRNA from 1 species